UACCGGGUCGUCCAACGGCAGGACAGCGGCCUUUGGAGCCGCGAAUCAAGGUUCGAGUCCUUGCCCGGUAGCCA
rnacentral:tRNA from 1 species